rnacentral:lncRNA from 1 species
CCGGGCACCCCGCCGGCUCCCGCCCGCGCCCCGCGCCCGCUUACCUGCCGGGGUCGCUCCGAAGACUCGCACCACCGGCACCUUCUUGACAAGGGCAUGGGUGAGGGGAGAUUGGCAGAUAUCCAGCCCCUGCAGCGGGCUGGCCAUGUAGAAGUCGGCAGUCACUAUCCUCAUUGAAAACAUGUUCGCCGCCGCCGCCGCCACCGCCUCCCCUUCACUAGCGACUCGACAGCGGCAGCGGCAGCGGCAGCGGCGGCGGCGGCUCUCUCCGCAGCGGAGGCCCCACAACAGCGGCGCGACGCCCCCUCCCCUCACACUCAGACACCGUGAGGAGCGGUGGCGGGCGGGGCGGUGUUGGUACUGCUGCUGCCACCUCCUCAGGAGGACCCGGCGAGGGGCAGCAGGAGAGAAACCCUCGCACUUUCGUCGGUGCUAGCGUUGCCGCCACUGCCGCCGCCGCCGGGGAUCACACGGGUUCCGCGGUCCCAGGCUGCAGCUCUUGUUGCCAUGAUGAUGAUGUCACGGACGCAACCACUGGGGGAGGGGAGAAGGGGGUUGUGUGUGUGGCGGAGGGAGGGCUGUGAGUAGCUGGGGGAGGGAACGCGGCGGGAAAGGGAGGGGAGCCGGACGGGCGCCCGAGCGGGACACCGAGGGGGCGCCAAGGGGGUGUUUUCUACCCGCCCUGGGGCACGCAGCAAGGGAAGAGGUAAAUGGAAGCAGGGCCCGCGCCCGGCGCGGGGUAUCGAUGACUCGGCCGGUGGGUACGGCCACCUGGGUUUGGGGCAGCGGAGAGAGCGGCGGAGCGCCGAUAUCAUGGAUGUGCUCCAAGGGGCUCGCGGGAGGAGGGCGCCAGUGUUCUGGGCCCUUUUGGCGGUUACGCGGGAUUGGCCGAAGCUGCGGCCCUCGCGCUCGCCUCGCCGACCGCCAUUUCACAUUCUUGCUUGGAGGAGGGGGCAGCGACGGAGAAGGUUUUUUACAAGCUCUGAAAUUGGAAACAGUACAGGGUGCUCUUCAGCUGAUCAGGGAACAAGAACCUUUUCUGAAGGGCUGGCUGAGUGGUGGGUAA